rnacentral:rRNA from 1 species
CGUAGGUGAACCUGCGGAUGGAUCAUUUCAUAAAAAAAACAAGAACAAAAAAAGUCUUUAAUUAGACUUGCUCGACGCUAAUAAUUUAUUGGAAUCUAGGUUUCUUUAAAUUUGCCGUCGAGUAUCUCAAAUUAUUUAGUAUGUCAAAUUUAAUUGUAGUUGUAUGAUAGUCUUAGUUUAACUAAUUCUUGAAUUCAAUGAUUUGUAAGUAAGCAUAAAUGGUGGAUACCUCGGCUCCUAAAUCGAUGAAGACCGUAGCAAACUGCGAUAAGUCAGACCUGAUGCAGACACUGGUGAAGUCGAACUGUUGAACGCACAUGAUGAUAUUGAUCCUUUUACCGGGCAUUAAAUAUCACACUUGGUUGAGAGUCGCAUCUCAUUAUUAUUUAUAAUUUCUUAUUUUUAAUAGGAAAUUUAUAAAGUAUUGAGAAAGUAUUCCUGGACAAUCAAUUGGAAUACUUUCUUUAAAUAUUAGAAAAAAAGAUUGUCAGGUAUGAAAAUUAAUUUGGUUAACUCCAAUUAAUAUCCAAUAGAUCCAAUUUAAUUUUAUAGUUUCCAAUUCAUUUUGGAGCGACUAUUUAAAUUUUAUUAGUUUCUGUUUAAUACCAAUUUGACUGACUAACUUAAUGAAGCUAAUUGCUUUCUUUAUUUUUUCAUUCAACAACUAUUAGUCGAUAGAAGAUUUACUAUCAAUGAAAGUUUAAUCACCAAAUUGAAAAGUUUUACUUUCCAAAAGGUUAAACAAGUAAUUUUUGAUGCAUCUUUGUGUAAUCUAUUAGUUGGGAAAAAUAAAAUGGUAAUUCAAUUUCCACAAAGUCUGUUCCAGUCAAGUUUAUUAAACAUUAAGGAAACUUUUAAAAUUUUUAUAAGUUGUCAAUUAUGGCUAUUAAAUUUUAUUGUAUACCUUCUAAAAAUCUAUGGAUUCCAAGUUGAAAUAAUACUUUACUUCCAAAAGAAGUACUGACUAAAUUAUUUUAACUAUAAAAAACAUUACAAACAGCGACAUCAGCCAAGCGAGAUUA